rnacentral:snRNA from 1 species
GUGCUCACUUCAGCAGCACAUAUACUAAAAUUGGAACGAUACAGAGAAGAUUAGCAUGGCCCCUGUGCAAGGAUGACAUGCAAAUUCGUGAAGCGUUUCAUAUUUUU